AUUUGGUCUAGUGGUAUGAUUCUCGCUUAGGGUGCGAGAGGUCGUGAGUUCAAUUCUCAGAAU
rfam:Capsicum annuum cultivar Zunla-1 chromosome 5, whole genome shotgun sequence